rnacentral:rRNA from 1 species
ACAUGCAAGUCGAACGAUGAACCACUUCGGUGGGGAUUAGUGGCGAACGGGUGAGUAACACGUGGGCAAUCUGCCCUUCACUCUGGGACAAGCCCUGGAAACGGGGUCUAAUACCGGAUAACACUUCCACUCGCAUGGGUGGAGGUUAAAAGCUCCGGCGGUGAAGGAUGAGCCCGCGGCCUAUCAGCUUGUUGGUGAGGUAAUGGCUCACCAAGGCGACGACGGGUAGCCGGCCUGAGAGGGCGACCGGCCACACUGGGACUGAGACACGGCCCAGACUCCUACGGGAGGCAGCAGUGGGGAAUAUUGCACAAUGGGCGAAAGCCUGAUGCAGCGACGCCGCGUGAGGGAUGACGGCCUUCGGGUUGUAAACCUCUUUCAGCAGGGAAGAAGCGAAAGUGACGGUACCUGCAGAAGAAGCGCCGGCUAACUACGUGCCAGCAGCCGCGGUAAUACGUAGGGCGCAAGCGUUGUCCGGAAUUAUUGGGCGUAAAGAGCUCGUA